AAUCAACGCUGGCGGCGUGCCUAACACAUGCAAGUCGAACGCGACUGGGGGCUUCGGCCUCAGUUGAGUGGCGAACGGGUGAGUAACACGUGGGUGACCUACCUUCGAAUGGGGGAUAACGUCCCGAAAGGGACGCUAAUACCGCAUAACAUCCCGCCUUUGAACAGGCGGAGAUCAAAGCCGGGGAUCGCAAGACCUGGCGUUUGAAGAGGGGCCCGCGUCCGAUUAGCUAGUUGGUGAGGUAACGGCUCACCAAGGCGACGAUCGGUAGCCGGCCUGAGAGGGCGGACGGCCACACUGGAACUGAGACACGGUCCAGACUCCUACGGGAGGCAGCAGUGGGGAAUUUUUUCGCAAUGGGGGCAACCCUGACGAAGCAACGCCGCGUGGGGAUGAAGGUCUUCGGAUUGUAACCCCUGUCGACUGGGACGAAUGUAGAACGGCCCAAAUACGCCGAGCUAUUGACUGUACCGGUGGAGGAAGCCACGGCUAACUCUGUGCCA
rnacentral:rRNA from 1 species